UCAUGUUUAAAAAAAAAAAUGGAUUUGUUUGAGAAGUUUUAGGAAUUUUCAAGCAAAUGCAAUUGGCAGGUGUAAAACCAAACUAGGCAAACUUUUGUCAGCAUCCUCCCUCCUGUGCGAAAAUGGGAGCAUUGGAACAGGGUAUAGACAUCGAUCAAGGUUAGAGGAAUUUUGUCAGAUGUUAUAGUUGCAACUGCCCUGUUAGAUAUGUAUGCAAAACGUAGGAGCAUAUACAAGGCAAGCGAACUGCUUAAAAUAAUGCUCGAAGAGAUGCCAUCUCAUGGAACGCCACAAUUGCAGGAUAUGCAAAAUGUGGAAGCAUAGAUAAGGCACGCGAACUGUUUAACAGAAUGCGUCUAAGGAAUGUAUUCUCAUGGAAUGCCCUGAUUGCAGGAUAUUUACAAAAUGGAUUUGCUGAAAAGGCUUUAGAAACUUUCAAGCAAAUGCAAUUGGCAGUUGUACUCCAAACUUUGCAACCUUUGCCAGCAUCAUCGCAGCCUGUGCCAAAUGGGAGCUUUGGAACAGGGUUUGGACAUCUAUCAAAGCAUAAAGGAUAGAGGAAUUUUGUCAGAUGAUGUAGUUGCAACUGGUCUGGUAGGAAGCGUGCAAAAUGUGGAAGCAAAGAUAAUGCACGCGAAUUGUUUUACAAAAUGCCUAAAAAAAAUUGUGGUUUCAUGGAAUGCCAUGAUUGCAGAAUAUGUAUGCAGAGAAUGGAUUUGUGACACGGUUUAAACGGAAAAUUUAAAACUGACUGUUGUAAAGCCAGCAUCCUCCCCACCUCUGCCAAAAUGGGAGCUUUGGAGCAGGGCAUAGAUGUCCAUCAAAGCAUAGUGGAAGGGAUUUUUUUUGAUAUAAUAGUUGGAAAUGCUCCGGUAGACAUGCAUGGAAAUUUUGUUGGCAUAGACGAGGCACGUGAACUGUCUGAUAAAAUGCCUCGAAAUGUUGUCUCACGGAAUGCGAUGAUUGCAUCAUGAACACAAAAUGGAUUUUGCAAGGAUGAUCUCAAAAAACUUUGAAUUAAUGAUGCACUCUGGAAUAUAUCCUGACAUUACAAGCAUUGCAUGUGUUCUAUGUGCAUGGAGCCAUGAAGGUUUAGUGGAUUAGGGGCUGUACAUGAUUCAAUCAAAGUAACCCUUAUUGCAUUACACUUACAAAUGAUCAUUAUGUAUGCAUGGUUAACCUUCUUGCCCAUGCUACUAUCUUGAGGACACUCUAAACUUUAUCAUUAAGAUGCCAAAUGCCAAUUAAACCUGUGGUGGUUGUGUGGAUGUGUUUUCGUGGGUUUGCAAGUCACAUAUGAAUAUAUGCUUAGGAGUAUUCACAGCGACGGUGCUUUUAGAUUUUGAUCUUAAAGAUGGUCUCACGUAUGUUCUUCUCUCAAACAUCUACGCAGAACUGGGUAGAUGGUGCGAGGUUCAAAUGGUAAGGAGAUUGAUGAGAGAUUAAGGAAUUAAAAUGAUCCUUGGAUUUAGUUGGAUUUUGGGCCAUAAAAUGGCACGUGCUUUUUUUGGCCGGAGACAGAUCACAUCCACACAGAUAGGAGAUCUAUGCGAAGUUGGAGAAAUUGGCUUUGGAGAUGAAGGAAGCAGGUAUUUUGCAAAUUCACGACAAUUGCUUAGUGAUGUGGAAAAGAAAGAAAAGUAAUUAUUUUUCUAUCAUCAUAGUGAAAAGUUGUAGACGACUUCUAGAAUAUAACUAUUGUAGUUGUUAAAAAAAUAUGUAUUGAUUGUCACACUGCAAUGAAAUUCAUCUCCACGAUUAUGGCAAAAGAAAUUACCGUGAGAGAUGUGAAUUGUUUCCAUUAUUUCAAAUAUGGAGAAUGUUAUCGUGGAGAUUAUUCAUACGCUAAAUGAUCUAAAAUAUAGACUCGCACUAUUAUAAUGUAUCCCAUGUCAGACCUGUCCUAAUAUUGAAGGAGCAAGGUUUUAUUUUCA